rnacentral:rRNA from 1 species
GGGGAAUUUUCCGCAAUGGGCGAAAGCCUGACGGAGCAAUACCGCGUGAGGGAGGAAGGCUCUUGGGUUGUAAACCUCUUUUCUCAGGGAAGAACAAAAUGACGGUACCUGAGGAAUAAGCAUCGGCUAACUCCGUGCCAGCAGCCGCGGUAAUACGGAGGAUGCAAGCGUUAUCCGGAAUUAUUGGGCGUAAAGCGUCCGCAGGUGGCAAUUCAAGUCUGCUGUCAAAGGUUCUGGCUCAACCAGAGACAGGCAGUGGAAACUGAAUAGCUAGAGUGCGGUAGGGGCAGAGGGAAUUCCCAGUGUAGCGGUGAAAUGCGUAGAGAUUGGGAAGAACACCGGUGGCGAAAGCGCUCUGCUAGGCCGUAACUGACACUCAUGGACGAAAGCUAGGGGAGCGAAUGGGAUUAGAUACCCCAGUAGUCCUAGCCGUAAACGAUGGAUACUAGGCGUUGCUCGCAUCGACCCGAGCAGUGCCGUAGCUAACGCGUUAAGUAUCCCGCCUGGGGAGUACGCGCGCAAGCGUGAAACUCAAAGGAAUUGACGGGGGCCCGCACAAGCGGUGGAGUAUGUGGUCUAAUUCGAUGCAACGCGAAGAACCUUACCAGGACUUGACAUGUCGCGAAUCUUUGGGAAACUAAAGAGUGCCUUCGGGAGCGCGAACACAGGUGGUGCAUGGCUGUCGUCAGUUCGUGUCGUGAGAUGUUGGGUUAAGUCCCGCAACGAGCGCAACCCUCGUUCUUAGUUGCCAGCAUUAAGUUGGGCACUCUAGGGAGACUGCCGGUGAUAAACCGGAGGAAGGUGGGGAUGACGUCAAGUCAGCAUGCCCCUUACGUCCUGGGCUACACACGUACUACAAUGCUACGGACAAAGGGUCGCAAGUUAGCGAUGACAAGCAAAUCCCAUAAACCGUGGCUCAGUUCAGAUUGCAGGCUGCAACUCGCCUGCAUGAAGGCGGAAUCGCUAGUAAUCCCAGAUCAGCACGCUGGGGUGAAUACGUUCCCGGGCCUUGUACACACCGCCCGUCACACCAUGGAAAUUGGCCACGCCCGAAGUCGUUACCCUAACCGCAAGGAGGGGGAUGCCGAAGGCAGGGCUGAUGACUGGGGUGAAGUCGUAACAAGGUAGCCGUACCGGAAGGUGUGGCUGGAUCACCUCCUU